CCGGCUCUUGCCCAGUGGCGAAUAUCUCACUGGGGCCUCCAAAUGUUGUGACCAAGCGAGUUAUAGAGAAACGCCACACUUUGAGACAAAUUAGAGUCCUUUAUUAG
rnacentral:pre_miRNA from 10 species